UGAAGCGCUUGUGUUUAUUUACAUUGCUCGAUUGGAACCGCGUUUGACGGUUCGAUUGGAACUUUUGGCUUCAGUCUUCGCGCGUCUCUUAUUUAACAUCGUCACUGAUCAAUAAUAGGAAUUAUUUUGUAUAGAACGCUAAGCGCGCCUCUUCGCUCCCACUAUGACAGCGACCUAAUUGAGAGCACGCAAUAAGCUAAUAUGCGAUAUGCAAUAAGCUUGAAAUGCGAAGAAGAAGAAGAAGUAUACCGCGUCCGAUGUUCUGAAGAGAUAUUCUGUUGUUUGUUUUGUGUCUAUACCGCUAAUCGCUUUAAUCAGAUGGAUUCUACAUUCAGUUUCUUUCUUAACCAAAUUGAAGUGGGCAUCGAAGUUGCACUUCCGGUCGAAGGUAACCCCGAGUACUCGCAACUGUUGUUUGAAUGGGAUUUCUUUCUCACCGACAAUUACAGGAUUGGUCCACGGGUGGUGUUUUGAAUUACAGAAAUGUGUAAUCGAGCAUUUCUCGGCAAGGACUGAGCCUUGUGGAACUCCGGUCUCUUCUUUGAAAGAGUUGGAUUUAGUGUCACCGAUAAGGACUUGGAAUGUUCGCUUCUUCAGAUAACCCUGGACAAAUUUGCCCAUGUUGCCUACAAUAUCCCAGUCUAUAAGCUGUUGUAGUACAGCAGGACGCCAAACUCGGUUGUAUGCUAUCGAGAGAUUCAGAGUUGCGAUGGCAACGUGCUGCCCAUUCGACAGGGCAUCGUCGAUCACUUGACCAAGAGAUGCUAGAUAUGGUCCGGUACCUCUGCCUUUAAGAAAAGCAAAUUGUCGAGAGUCUAAACAAUUGUGCUCUUGUAGUUCGGUGAUAAGUCGUCACCCAUAACCUUUGAAGUACAGUUAGUUAGUGCAAUUGGUCGGUAAUCAUGUGGAUCGGUAGAUCCCAUAUUCUUUUUAGGAAUCGGGAUGACAAAACUGUGGCGCCAGUCAGUGGGGGCACUCAAAAUAGAUAAGGUUUACUGAAAUUGCUGAAAACUUCCUACAUACUCAAUCAAUGAGCCCGGUACAGUAUACAUAUACAGUAAAGUCUCGAAUAUUUGCUAGAACAGCAGUAAAUAUUUCAGAAAAGUUUAUGCAUAUCCAGAAGGAUUACAACUCUUUGAUUUUGUGUUGGGAAUAAACAAAAUCUAGACCUAUUAUUUCAUACAUUUUUUUUUGAUUAUUUUUUUCAAAUAUAAAAUUGAAUUUGUUCAUUGCACCAAGUGGGCUUUAGCUUUUAUCGUAGUACGAGUUGAUUCUUUUUUGAGAGUUAGAUAGCCAUCGCACUGGUAAAUCAUUUCAGAUCACCUCUGAAAGCCUGUUCAAACCUUUUCCAAUAGCCUCUUCGGAGAGCAUAAAUUGAGCUACCCAAUGAAAGUAUGUCAUCACUAGUCGAUCACUCUAUUUUGCUUAAGUCUGAGCUUGAAUCCCCUAUUUUUCGGUGUUCCAAUGUUUGUAUUUAACAUCAGUGUAAUUCGUUGCUAACCAUUUAACUAUCAACAUUUAUUUCAACAAACAACCUAUAAAUCCUUUCAUUGUUGUGCUGUUCCAAGUAAAAUCGAAUAAAUUACUACAUUUUACCAAACUUGUAUGAGUAAGCUACGCUGAGCGAAUGUAAAAGUUAAAUAGAAACAUGAUAAGAUCAUAGAAAUAAAUAAAAUACGUUACUGGGAUCCAAUCAGGAUCAGGAGAUAUGCGGCGAGUGUGCGACUGACAGCAAUAUUUCCCCAACCCAUCAAACUGGAAUAAGGGGGGAACACAACAACGCUUUGAACUUACAAGAGGACAAGAUUGAUGCUUACAUUUAAUGGACGCUACAAAGUACACAUAACCAAAAUACAUUUAAAACAUUUCAUUAAAUUUAACUUCAGCGAUACAAAGAGUUCUUAAA